rnacentral:rRNA from 1 species
UACGAAGGGGGCUAGCGUUGUUCGGAAUUACUGGGCGUAAAGCGCACGUAGGCGGAUACUUAAGUCAGGGGUGAAAUCCCGGGGCUCAACCCCGGAACUGCCUUUGAUACUGGGUAUCUCGAGUCCGGAAGAGGUGAGUGGAAUUCCGAGUGUAGAGGUGAAAUUCGUAGAGAUCGGCAGGAACAUCCAGGGGGAAACCAGUGGACUGGGCAGGAGCUGACGCUCAGGUGCGAAAGCGUGGGGAGCGAACCGG